rnacentral:rRNA from 1 species
UGAACGCUGGCGGCGUGCUUAACACAUGCAAGUCGAACGAAGCAUUUACGACAGAUUUCUUCGGAUUGAAGUUGUUAUGACUGAGUGGCGGACGGGUGAGUAACGCGUGGGUAACCUGCCUCAUACAGGGGGAUAGCAGCUGGAAACGGCUGGUAAUACCGCAUAAGCGCACAGCAUCACAUGAUGCAGUGUGAAAAACUCCGGUGGUAUGAGAUGGACCCGCGUCUGAUUAGCUAGUUGGUGAGGUUAAACGGGCCCACCAAGGCGACGAUCGGUAGCCGGACUGAGAGGUUGAACGGCCACAUUGGGACUGAGACACGGCCCAGACUCCUACGGGAGGCAGCAGUGGGGAAUAUUGCACAAUGGGGGAAACCCUGAUGCAGCGACGCCGCGUGGAGGAAGAAGGUCUUCGGAUUGUAAACUCCUGUUGUUGAGGAAGAUAAUGACGGUACUCAACAAGGAAGUGACGGCUAACUACGUG